AACAACUUUAACAAGCUUGGACCCGACAUGAUCGAAUUUUUGGGGACUUCGUAUGAUACAGGCUCAGUGAUGCAUUACGAUCAAUUCGCUUUCGCCAAAGAUCGUAACGUUCCCACCAUUUACUCGAAGACGGGCAGUACCCUGGGUAAUACACAAGGAUUUAGUCAGAACGAUGUCUUGAAAUUGAAUCUUAUGUACCAAUGCAGCCCUGUUGUCGAGACAACUAUUGCUACAACCACC